rnacentral:rRNA from 1 species
CUCCUACGGGAGGCAGCAGUGGGGAAUAUUGCGCAAUGGCGGAAGCCUGACGCAGCGACGCCGCGUGGGGGAUGAAGGCCUUCGGGUUGUAAACCCCGUUUCACCAGGAGCGAAUCAAGACGGUACCUGGAAAGAAGCCCGGCUAACUACGUGCCAGCCGCCGCGGUAAUAC